rnacentral:rRNA from 1 species
AAUCAACGCUGGCGGCGUGCCUAACACAUGCAAGUCGAACGAGAAAGCCCGCAAGGGUGAGUACAGUGGCGACCGGGUGAGUAACACGUGGACAACCUACCGUCGAGUGGGGAAUAACCUUGGGAAACCGGGGCUAAUACCGCAUAACACCCAGGGGCUUCGGCCCCGGGUUGAAACCCGCAAGGGGCUUGGCGAGGGGUCCGCGGCCGAUUAGCUAGUUGGUGAGGUAACGGCCCACCAAGGCUUUGAUCGGUAGCCGGCCUAAGAGGGCGGACGGCCACACUGGAACUGAAACACGGUCCAGACUCCUACGGGAGGCAGCAGUGGGGAAUUUUGCGCAAUGGGGGAAACCCGGACGCAGCAACGCCGCGUGGACGAUGAAGCAUCUUGGUGUGUAAAGUCCUUUGGCAGGGAAGAAUCCGGAGCAAUCCGGUUGACGGUACCUGAAGAAGAAGCCCCGGCUAACUCCGUGCCAGCCGCCGCCGUAAU